rnacentral:rRNA from 1 species
GAUGAACGCUGACAGAAUGCUUAACACAUGCAAGUCGAUGGGGAAGUGGUGCUUGCACCCUGGUAACCAUGGCGGACGGGUGAGUAACGCGUAAGGAACUUGCCUGCGGGACUGGGAUAACAGCAGGAAACUGCUGAUAAUACCGGAUAAGGUCAUUAAGCUGCAUAGCUUAGUGAUGAAAGGAGACGCCUGCGGAGAGCCUUGCGUCCUAUUAGCUAGUUGGAGGGGUAACGGCCCGCCAAGGCGAAGAUAGGUAGCCGGCCUGAGAGGGUGGACGGCCACAAGGGGACUGAGAUACGGCCCUUACUCCUACGGGAGGCAGCAGUGGGGAAUAUUGGACAAUGGGGGCAACCCUGAUCCAGCAAUUCUGUGUGCACGAAGAAGGUUUUCGGAUUGUAAAGUGCUUUCAGCAGGGAAGAAGGAAGUGACGGUACCUGCAGAAGAAGCGACGGCUAAAUACGUG